rnacentral:rRNA from 1 species
UAGCUAGUUGGUGAGGUAAAGGCUUACCAAGGCGACGAUCUGUAGCGGGUCUGAGAGGAUGAUCCGCCACACUGGAACUGAGACACGGUCCAGACUCCUACGGGAGGCAGCAGUGGGGAAUUUUGGACAAUGGGGGCAACCCUGAUCCAGCCAUGCCGCGUGAGUGAAGAAGGCCUUCGGGUUGUAAAGCUCUUUCGGCCGGGAAGAAAUCGCAUGGGCCAAUACCCUGUGUGGAUGACGGUACCGGAAUAAGAAGCACCGGCUAACUACGUGCCAGCAGCCGCGGUAAUACGUAGGGUGCGAGCGUUAAUCGGAAUUACUGGGCGUAAAGCGUGCGCAGGCGGUUUUGUAAGACAGGCGUGAAAUCCCCGGGCUUAACCUGGGAACUGCGUUUGUGACUGCAAGGCCAGUACGGCAGAGGGGGGUGGAAUUCCACGUGUAGCAGUGAAAUGCGUAGAGAUGUGGAGGAACACCAAUGGCGAAGGCAGCCCCCUGGGUCGAUACUGACGCUCAUGCACGAAAGCGUGGGUAGCAAACAGGAUUAGAUACCCUGGUAGUCCACGCCCUAAACUAUGUCAACUAGGUGUUGGGUGGGUAAAACCAUUUAGUACCGUAGCUAACGCGUGAAGUUGACCGCCUGGGGAGUACGGCCGCAAGGUUAAAACUCAAAGGAAUUGACGGGGACCCGCACAAGCGGUGGAUGAUGUGGAUUAAUUCGAUGCAACGCGAAAAACCUUACCUACCCUUGACAUGCCAGGAACUUGCCAGAGAUGGCUUGGUGCCCGAAAGGGAGCCUGGACACAGGUGCUGCAUGGCUGUCGUCAGCUCGUGUCGUGAGAUGUUGGGUUAAGUCCCGCAACGAGCGCAACCCUUGUCGUUAAUUGCCAUCAUUUAGUUGGGCACUUUAACGAGACUGCCGGUGACAAACCGGAGGAAGGUGGGGAUGACGUCAAGUCCUCAUGGCCCUUAUGGGUAGGGCUUCACACGUCAUACAAUGGUCGGUACAAAGGGUUGCCAAGCCGCGAGGCGGAGCCAAUCCCAGAAAGCCGAUCGUAGUCCGGAUUGCAGGCUGCAACUCGCCUGCAUGAAGUCGGAAUCGCUAGUAAUCGUGGAUCAGCAUGUCACGGUGAAUACGUUCCCGGGUCUUGUACACACCGCCCGUCACACCAUGGGAGCGGGUUCCGCCAGAAGUAGGUAGCCUAACCGCAAGGGGGGCGCUUACCACGGCGGGGUUCGUGACUGGGGUGAAGUCGUAACAAGGUAGCCGUAGGGGAACCUGCGGCUG